rnacentral:rRNA from 1 species
AUUGAACGCUGGCGGCAGGCCUAACACAUGCAAGUCGAACGGUAACAGGAAGAAGCUUGCUUCUUUGCUGACGAGUGGCGGACGGGUGAGUAAUGUCUGGGAAACUGCCUGAUGGAGGGGGAUAACUACUGGAAACGGUAGCUAAUACCGCAUAACGUCGCAAGACCAAAAAGGGGGACCUUCUGGCCUCUUGCCAUCGGAUGUGCCCAGAUGGGAUUAGCUAGUAGGUGGGGUAACGGCUCACCUAGGCGACGAUCCCUAGCUGGUCUGAGAGGAUGACCAGCCACACUGGAACUGAGACACGGUCCAGACUCCUACGGGAGGCAGCAGUGGGGAAUAUUGCACAAUGGGCGCAAGCCUGAUGCAGCCAUGCCGCGUGUAUGAAGAAGGCCUUCAGGUUGUAAAGUACUUUCAGCGGGGAGGAAGGGAGUAAAGUUAAUACCUUUGCUCAUUGACGUUACCCGCAGAAGAAGCACCGGCUAACUCCGUG